GAUGAACGCUAGCGGCAGGCUUAAUACAUGCAAGUCGUGGGGCAGCAGGUCUGUAGCAAUACAGAUGCUGGCGACCGGCAAACGGGUGCGUAACACGUACGCAACUUACCCAUUACAGGGGAAUAGCCCAGGGAAACUUGGAUUAAUACCCCAUAUUAUAUAGGAUUGGCAUCAGUCUUAUAUCAAAGCUUCGGCGGUAAUGGAUGGGCGUGCGGUUGAUUAGAUAGUUGGCGGGGUAACGGCCCAUCAAGUCUACGAUCAAUAGCUGAUGUGAGAGCAUGAUCAGCCACACGGGCACUGAGACACGGGCCCGACUCCUACGGGAGGCAGCAGUAAGGAAUAUUGGGCAAUGGACGAAAGUCUGACCCAGCCAUGCCGCGUGAAGGAUGAAGGUCCUCUGGAUUGUAAACUUCUUUUAUCUGGGGCGAAAAUCACCCUUUCUAGGGUGCUUGACAGUACCAGAGGAAUAAGCACCGGCUAACUCCGUGCCAGCCGCCGCCGUAAUAC
rnacentral:rRNA from 1 species